ensembl:lncRNA
UAUAUACUCCUGAAACAGAGAGCAGAGAGACCUUUACACCGUUAUUCUCUGGUGGGUUAAUCGUGUGAGAAUGUUUGAGCUCGGGAGUCGACUGGCCCACAUGUACCUCUCCUCGGGGCCCGGAGAACCAGCGGCUGUGCAGAACAGCAGCCUGUCCUCUACUGCUGGUCUGGAUCUGGCAAAAAACAAAGAGGAGAAGAUUCCUGGCUUACAAGAGUUUCUGCAACAUGUGCGGAGGCUCAGUGGGCUGAAGAAAGAAGACGUUUUCUGUAACCUGCGUGUCCCAAAUCAGUUUCAGACAUCACGCCAGGAGAUCAACCUCAUCAUCCUCACAGGUGCCGGUGUGUACUGUAUGGACGUAAAGCCAUGGAGGGGCGUGGUUUCUGCUCCGCCUCCCUACACUUGGCACAUCCAGGUGAAAGAGGAGGAGCAGAACU